UUUUUUCCAAAUCCCAUUAUCUCUUCCCCAAUUUCCCCUAAAUGAUCGAAAACCCUAACUUUUUUCCCCAAAUCCCCUCCUUUUUGUCAUCUUUUAAAUUCUAACCCUUUUCUCUUCUGUAUAAAUUUUUCACCAGCAACAGCAACAAAAAAUUUCUCAUCGCUGUUCUCUUUGCCGAAACCAAAAAAAUUCUGGUAAGUUUUCAUUUCAUUCUAUUUUUUAUAUAUCUUUUUUUUAAAUUCAUUCUAUUUUUCAGUUAAGUAAGGUUUCUUUCCUUUUGUGAAGAGGAAAAUAUGCAGCAGCCUUCACAAUUGAUGAACAUCCCCACUGAGUAGAUUCAAAAGGUUUUCUUUUUUUAUUCUUUUACAGCAUUGCCCCCCUUUAUAUGUAUAUGCAUUUUGGUUGACUGGAUAUUUAAUGGGUUUUCGAUUGAUGAGUUUUGCAUGCAUUGUUUACUGUAUGUAUUAUUAAUGAUUAAAUUAAUAAAUAUUUAGCUUUUUUUAGAAAUGCAAUAAUUAGCUUUUACGUUUAUGGGAAAAAUCUGAAACAUAUUCCCUUCACUGCUAAAUAUGUGCAGUAAAACAUAUUUAUGAUUGACUUCCUGAAUGGUAUGUGUUUUGGUCACAUGUAUGAAUAAGUUUUUAACAAGUAUUUGGAAGAUCUUAGGAUGAGCAUAUCAAUAUACCCUUGUCCAGAGACAGGAAUGUUCCUAGAAAAUUAAGUCGGAACAAUAUAGGAUGGAUAUGUAAAUGGAGACGAUGUUAGAAAACAAAGUAAAUUAACCUCUGCCACUAUAACCCAUGGAAUUCCUUCCAUCCCUGCUUGGUAUGAGGCCAUAUACACCUGACAUACAAGCCAAAUAAUUAACUCUCUCUCUUACUCUCUUAAUCUCUUACAUUUGUAGCUUACAUAUAAAUAUACACUAAAAUAAGUAAAAAGAAUAAAGAAUUUACAUUCUCAUAUGCAAUGCUAGAAGAGAAUGCAACUUACCCAAAUGUUUUAUGUUGACAAAAAAAGCUUUGCAUUUGUAGUUAAUUUGAUAUUUUACAUGCACAAUCUAUAGAGAGAGAGCAUGUAAUCCAGCACUUGAAUUGAAACAAUAAAAAUCAUACAAAAAGAUAUGGAAGGGUCAUUUUGCCACUUUUUUGUUUACUAAGGUGUUAUGCUAUGAAGUAGAAAAUAUCUGCUUUUAUUGAAUAUUUGUUCUUAGUAGUUAUUUAUAUAUCCAUCCAUGCAAUGUUCUAAUCUCAUAUCUUGAAUUACAACACACUAACAGGUACGAGCCCAAUACCAUUGAUCUAUCAGAUCACAAAAAGUUUAGAGUAAGUGUGCUCUUCAAAUAUGCUACUUAAUACUCAUUAUUCUGGACUUCGUAAGAGUGCCUUGCAAAAUAGAUCAUAAUAACUUUUAUGAUCCAAGAUAUUGAUUCUGCAAACAUGGAUUCUUUAUCUUAUUUUUUUAUAUACAUGUUUUAGGUACUGGUUCACUGUUUCAGAGCACUUGCUUGACCUUGUUGAUAAGAUAAAUAAAUAUACACACUAUGAGGUAUCUAGGAUUCUCUCUAACAUAAGAGAAUUUUCCAUUUGUAUUCUAAGGAGUCAUUUCAAGUAGAGUUCUGAAAUCAUAUAAGCUUGAGGCUAUUGUUAUAAAUAUGAUUUUUUACUUUCAAUUGUUAUAUAUUUUUAAUUAGUAUACAAUUUUAUCAGUUUCAAAAUAUAAUAGUUUUGACUUAAACAACCAUAGAUCAUUAUCUUGCCAAUUGAUAUAUUAUCCCAACUUUAUGGCUUAAACAUGAUUUGUCUUAUACCCUUUCCUUACAAUCAAAAUAUUAACCCAACUUUAUGGCGAAAAAAAACUAGCUUCCUCUCCCUUUAUAAGUUUGUGUUGUUGUUUUCAAUUUUUAGAUUAUUUAUUUGUUAAUUUUGAUUAAUUUAAUUAUAUGUUUAGUCCCUUGUUGACUAAGGCUAGUAUAGUUGAGUUUUUACAUCAGCAAGUUCUUGAUAUAGAGCACGAUUUUGUAGGGCAGUUACUGAGCUUCAAAUUAUCUAUUUCUUUCUCUUUUUUGGUCAGACCGAAUUAAGCAGGCCAAAGUUUGUAAAGGUAAUAGCAAUGAAUUCACCCUUAUAUUUAAAACUACUACUACUUUCUCUUCGAUUGAUAUUUGAUGCUUGGAAAUAUUGCGAUAUGCUAAAUACCCCACAUUUUGUCUGGUAGAUACUUUGAGAAUGGAGUUGAAUUUCAAUAGGCUGUUUAGUUGUAAAUGGAGUUGAGAAUGGAGUUGAGAAUGGAGCAUGCUAUUGUCUUUAUCUGGAUAUGCUACUUGCAAACUGUUAAAGCCUUCAUUGUCCUAUAUUUAAAACGUUCAUUCUCAUAUGUUGUUUGCAAACUGUUUGCCUGAAUGUUUAACCUAUAUGCUCGUGGAGUAUGUAUGUGAUCUCUUUUGCUCCUUAGUUAUUAAAUUGGUUUUGGUUUAAUAAUGUCCUAUGGUGUUGAUUAUUAGGAAAGUUUGGUUGAAUAUUCAUUCCUUUUUUGCAAUCAAUUUGAAAGGGGUUUUUUUGUUUCUAUUUUAGUCUAUAAAUUUUCAAGUUUAUUACUGUACAUAUUUUGUGACAUUCAAAUUAAUUCUUACAUUUUAAUGAUUAAUUUAACUCAAUAAUUACAGUUUAGCAUUAGUUGCACUAUUUAAAC
rnacentral:lncRNA from 1 species